CAUCCUCCAAGGCUAAAUACUCCUGACUGACCGAUAGUGAACCAGUACCGUGAGGGAAAGGCGAAAAGAACCCCGGCGAGGGGAGUGAAAAAGAACCUGAAACCGUGUACGUACAAGCAGUGGGAGCACAGGUUUACCUGUGUGACUGCGUACCUUUUGUAUAAUGGGUCAGCGACUUAUAUUCUGUAGCAAGGUUAACCGCAUAGGGGAGCCGGAGGGAAACCGAGUCUUAACCGGGCGUUAAGUUGCAGGGUAUAGACCCGAAACCCGGUGAUCUAGCCAUGGGCAGGUUGAAGGUUGGGUAACACUAACUGGAGGACCGAACCGACUAAUGUUGAAAAAUUAGCGGAUGACCUGUGGCU
rnacentral:rRNA from 1 species